AUAUAUAUAUAUUAUUAGAAAUAAUUUAUAUAUUUAAAAAUAGAAAUAUUUAAAAAUGGUAAAUAAAUAAAUAAUAAUAUAAUAAAGUAACUUUAUAAAUUUCAAUUAUUUUUAUCAAAAGUUAGAUAAUGCAAAAUUAAAAGGUCAAUGUAAACUUGAAUAAAUCAAACAAAAAAAAAAUACAUUAUGGUUUUAUUUUUUUAACUAAUAAAACUAAAAUAUAAAAAUAGAAAAUUUUAUUUAUAUAUAACAUUUUUAAAUAUUUUAUAUCUGCGCAUGGCGCAGGAAAACUCCUAGUCAUCCAUACAAAUCACAAGUGAUAUAUGCCUAUAUCAUACAUAUUACGAAUUAUAAGUGCACAAAUAAAUAUUCUAAUACUAAAUAUGUUUGACUAAAAUUUAUAUCCUCUUUUGUAAGUGUAAAACAAAUUACUUUCAUUUUUGCAAAAUGAGAAGAUAAUCUAUUGAUUUAAAUUAAGGAAGCAACAUAGAAUUUGGGAUAGAUUAAAUCUUGUAAAGCUGCCACAGAUAUAAUUGUCAGUUAGUUUAAACAUGACCGAUGACAAACCACAUUUCCAAAAAAGUUAAGAUACCAAUUUAUGAUGAAAUGACAACAAACCAACAUUAAAUUUUUGGUUAUUUAAUGAGGAAAAAUCAAAACAUAAUCAGAUUCUCAAAACCAACGAACACUUCUCGUUUUGACAAGAAUUUGACCAAUAUUAUUACUGCAUACGAUUACUAUAUUUUAAAUCUCCCAUUACAUUAACUAUUUAAGCUCAAUUUAUUAAAUUAUUGAUCAGGGAAGGAUUAAAAAUAUUUUUUAGCAUGGGGCGUUAUCAAUUUCUUAGAACUAAUUUUUAGUUUAGAAAUAUUUCAAUCAAUCUUAACACUAAUUAUCAAUGAAAAUAACAAAUUAGGUUGGGGCACAUGCCACACAUCCUCUUGCCAUCCACUCAUGCGAAUGAUUUAUCUUCAUCCACUAAACCACUACCGUAAAUUGAUUUUUUUUUUGUGUGUGUGUCUCCAAGUAAAAGAAUAAAUAUCAAGAUUGUCCAUAGGAGGAAAAAGGUCACAGUCCGAGAAAAAACUUGAAACCUCAGCUUCUCUCUCAUCUCAUCUCUCGAGACUCUCUUAAGCGAAAUUGAUAACGCUCCGGCGUCCGGCCGCGUGUGAGAGCGCGUUCCGGCGCCGGAGGCACCGUGCGUCUCCUUUUCCCCUCUCUUUUUCGAUUUGCUUCAUCAUCGUCUCAUCUCCUUCCCUUUGUCUUGCUCGAGCUCUCUGUCUCUGGAGAGUUUCCGGCGUGGGUUUCUCGUGUGAGGAGACACGUCCGGCUCUGUUCUACUGGUUUUGGAGGCUCGGCACGGAGGUGGAGGGUUUUGCGAUUGCUGGAGUCGGCGUUUAAGGUUUGCUGGUGGGUGAUUUUACUUUGUUUCCACUGGUAGUGUUAGCGGCGCGUGGAGGAAGACACUAGGCUUUCGUUUCAGAUCUGGGCUGUGGGUUCGAAGAUCCAUUACGUCUGGUUUGUCGUGGAGUGGAGUCGAGUAUUGGUUGGUGGUUUCGUCAUGGUGUCUCGAUGAAAUGCCUCCUCUAAAGUCGACAACUUGAAAGUCUUGGAGUUUCGAUUUUCUCAAGAGUGUGCUCAGCCUUCGACGCCGGCGUGUGUUGGGUCUACAGGUGCUGGCGCGUGGUAGCUUGUGGUGUCGUGGAUCGUCGCUGUCGUCUGGGGCAGUCUCGUGCGAUAUUACUGGCCUCCCUUUCAUCUGGUUGUUCGCUUCCCGGAAUCUGCUUCAGACACCAUUUUCAGAGCUUAGUCGACAAGCUCUAGGUGGUUUGAGUUGGUGUGUUCUUCUCUGAGGCUGUUUCCGUUACCACUGGUUUUAGCAAUUGGACAACAAUCGAUUACUCCUCUUCGGUUCUCGCUGAGAGCGUACAGCAUUGGAGUUGGCGGGUUCGGGUGGUCAGUGAACUUUGCGUCUCCUUGGUGGUACUGUACGGAGGGAAAGCAUUUCCCAGGAGCUAUAUCUGUCUUUGAUAGCUAUGGUUCUUUGUGUAUAUAUGAAUAAUCAUGGAUAGCUCUUUUGGGGAUGCGUCAAGUCUGGUUCAAAAGAUACCCUGCGGGUUCUCCAUUGUGGGUGCGCGUGAGGAGGUUAGAAGUUGGUCUUGUCAACCACGACUCUCCUACUCGGUGGCGACGCGUAUGGAGCCGGUCCGCUUCAGAGGUUUGAUCUUGGGAUGCCUCAUGUACACCUUUAUUGGUGGUGCUGAUCUCUCUGUCUUUUUGGUAUUGUUCUUGUCGUGUGGCCAUCCUCGGAGGCUAUUUCCGUCAAAUAACACUCAGUCUGGUCGAUGUGGGUGUGCUUGACCUCUGGUGAGGCUGUCUGUUCAUGUUGGUGGAUACUCAGGACGUCUGCAGCGAGAUGUUCUUCGAAGAGUCAGAUCAUAAAGAGCGGAUCAUCGGGGAGCCCAAAAUUACCGGGUUCUGUCUUUCGAAAUAACUGUGGCUCUUCCAUUUGCGGCAAGAUGUUAGUGCGGACUGGUUGGGGCCUCUGAGUAGCAGUUUUGCUUGUUGUGUCGGUUCCUUCUAGAUUAGGUCGAGUUGAUGUUUAUGACUUUUUUUCUUUCUUCUGAUUCUCGUUGUUGCCAUUGUACUUCUGUCAAAAAUCUGAAAAUUGGUAAUAAUAUCUUUACAUUUUUACCAAAAAAAAAAAAAAAUUGUCCAAA